CCUACGGGAGGCAGCAGUGGGGAAUAUUGCGCAAUGGGCGAAAGCCUGACGCAGCGACGCCGCGUGAGGGAUGAAGGUCUUCGGAUCGUUAACCUCUGUCAGCAGGGAAGAACGGUCACUGUGCUAAUCAGCAGUGAAUUGACGGUACCUGCAAAGGAAGCACCGGCUAACUCCGUGCCAGCAGCCGCGGUAAUACGGAGGGUGCGAGCGUUAAUCGGAAUUACUGGGCGGAAAGCGCUCGUAGGCGGUAUGUCAAGUCAGGGGUGAAAUCCCCGCGCUCAACGUGGGAACUGCCUUUGAAACUGGCAAACUGGAGUGUGUGAGAGGAUAGUGGAAUUCCAGGUGUAGGAGUGAAAUCCGUAGAUAUCUGGAGGAACAUCAGUGGCGAAGGCGACUAUCUGGCACAUAACUGACGCUGAGGAGCGAAAGCGUGGGUAGCAAACAGGAUUAGAUACCCUGGUAGUC
rnacentral:rRNA from 1 species